rnacentral:rRNA from 1 species
UACGAAGGGGACUAGCGUUGUUCGGAAUCACUGGGCGUAAAGCGCACGUAGGCGGAUGGGUCAGUCAGGGGUGAAAUCCCGGGGCUCAACCUCGGAACUGCCUUUGAUACAGCACGUCUCGAGUCCGGAAGAGGUGGGUGGAAUUCCUAGUGUAGAGGUGAAAUUCGUAGAUAUUAGGAAGAACACCGGUGGCGAAGGCGGCCCACUGGUCCGGUACUGACGCUGAGGUGCGAAAGCGUGGGGAGCAAACAGG